ensembl:snoRNA small nucleolar RNA SNORD113/SNORD114 family
UGGAUCAAUGAUGACCACUGAUGAUGUAUGAUCUAGGGAUCAUGACUACAUUUCUGGGAAUCUGAGAUUCAC